rnacentral:lncRNA from 1 species
GCAAGCGAUGGGGAACGGCUGUAAAUACAGAUGAAGCUUCGCUCGCACAUCUGCUGCCCACCUCCUGCUGUGCAGCCCAGUUCCUAACAGUCUAUGGACCAGUUACCUGUCCGUGGCCUGAGGGUUGAGGACCUCUGACUUAGAGCACUGCCAACAAACUAGUUGUGCCUAUACCUCCAUGCCUUAACUUGUGCUAUUUCUGCAACACCUUUCCCUCCCUAUUCCCUACCAGGCUCUCCCUACUGGUAGACAUGUCGCUGGCAUAACCCUGCAUCCACUAUCAUAGAGAUGAUGUUCUGUGGAUGCUGCCUUGCCACAGAUGUGGGACUUCUGGAUGCGCACAUGACCCAGGUCAGGCCAGUCAGAACCUCCUCAGGUUUUUGUUUAAACACUUGAAGGAUACUCUCUUCUCUUAAGACUCACUACCUGAAAGUACAAUGAAGUCUAGAAUUGUUUAUAGUCAUUUUCGCCGACACACGGAAAAAUUUACCUUAAAAUGGUGCCAACAUGGAGGAAGAGAGCAAAGCCAAAAACCAGAGAAAAAGGUCAUAAUAACAUUCAAACUGCACAAUCCAGACAUUUCUAAAGCCAGAAUUUUCCUUGAUCUUCCUCAUUACAUAAACCAAUAUAUUUUCUUUUUGGCUUAGGCUGCCUGCCCAUUAGUCGUGUAAUAGCCAUCUAGAUGAUCAGGUCCACUGUCAUGGUAUUACAGCACUUGUGUUUAAGUAACCUUUAGCGUACUUAAUAAUGAUCCCACAUCACAAGAGUACUAUUCCUGAUUUAUGGAUUAAACUAUCAUAGGUGUACUGGUAUAGGAAAAAUCAUAGUAUGUAUAAAGUUCAGUACUAUCCAAGGUUUUGGGCAUCCACUGGGGGUCUUAGAAUAUAUCCUUGCAGAUAAGGGGGUGGCUACUGUAUUCAGAAGCACAGAGGGUUCUACUCUACCGGUUGGGUGACCAACUCUCCCAGUUCUAUUAUUGACAUCCCCAGUGGGUAGUCUCAGGCAACUCGUUGAAC